AAUCAACGCUGGCGGCGCGCCUAACACAUGCAAGUCGAACGAGAAAGUCCGCAAGGAUGAGUAAAGUGGCGUACGGGUGAGUAACACGUGGAUAACCUGCCCUUUAGUGGGGAAUACCGCUGGGAAACCGGCGACAAUACCGCAUAAGCUCGAGAGAGGAAAGCAGCAAUGCGCUGAAGGAGGGGUCCGCGGCCGAUUAGCUAGUUGGUAGGGUAAAAGCCUACCAAGGCUGUGAUCGGUAGCCGGCCUGAGAGGGCACACGGCCACACUGGCACUG
rnacentral:rRNA from 1 species